rnacentral:rRNA from 1 species
AGAGUUUGAUCAUGCCUCAGAACGAACGCUGGCGGCGUGCUUAACACAUGCAAGUCGUACCUGAUCCGGAGCUUGCUCCGGUGAAAGUGGCGCACGGGUGAGUAACGCGUGGAUAAACUGCCCUGGUAUCUGGGAUAACAUCUCGAAAGGGGUGCUAAUACCGGAUAAGCCUACGGACUCUUCGGAGUCUGCAGGAAAAGGUGGCCUCUAUUUAUAAGCUACCGUAUCAGGAUGAGUCCGCGUACCAUUAGCUAGUUGGUGGGGUAAUGGCCCACCAAGGCUACGAUGGUUAGCUGGUCUGAGAGGAUGAUCAGCCACACUGGAACUGAGACACGGUCCAGACUCCUACGGGAGGCAGCAGUGGGGAAUUUUGCGCAAUGGGGGAAACCCUGACGCAGCAACGCCGCGUGAGUGAUGAAGGCUUUCGGGUCGUAAAGCUCUGUCAGAGGGGAAGAAAUGAGAUUGGCUAAUAUCCAAUUUUCUUGACGGUACCCUCAAAGGAAGCACCGGCUAACUCCGUGCCAGCCGCCGCGGUAAUUC